rnacentral:rRNA from 1 species
CUGCUGCCUUCCGUAGGAGUUUGGACCGUGUCUCAGUUCCAAUGUGGGGGACCUUCCUCUCAGAACCCCUAUCCAUCGAUGCCUUGGUGGGCCGUUACCCCACCAACAAGCUAAUGGAACGCAUCUCCAUCGAUGACCGAAAUUCUUUAAUAGUUCUACCAUGCGGAAGAACUAUGCCAUCGGGUAUUAAUCUUUCUUUCGAAAGGCUAUCCCCGAGUCAUCGGCAGGUUGGAUACGUGUUACUCACCCGUGCGCCGGUCG